GCCCGAGUGGUGAAAUUGGUAGACACAAGAGACUUAAAAUCUCUCGGCCUUGCGGUCGUACCGGUUCGAUUCCGGUCUCGGGCACCA
rnacentral:tRNA from 1 species